rnacentral:RNase_P_RNA from 1 species
CGAGUCCAGCGUGCUAACGUGGUAGCGGGGAGGAAAGUCCGGGCAGCGUAGGGAAGGGCAGUUGCUAACGGCAACCGGGAGCAAUCCUAGGGAAAGUGCCACAGAAACAAGACCGCCUCGUGUUCUUUUUCGCGGGGUAAGGGUGAAACGAGUGGGGUAAGAGCCCACAGGUGUGCAUGGUGACAUGCAAACCAGGUAAACCCUGCCUGCUGCAAGGAGGUAGCGUCCAAUAGGUUUCCCGCCGGGCGUUAUCGACAAAGUUAUCCGCUUGAUCCUGCUGGCAACAGUAGGACUAGAUAGAUGAUCGGCAAUUACAGAACCCGGCUUAUAGAUGGCCUAGCAAC